rnacentral:rRNA from 1 species
CUACGGGACGCUCCAGUGGGGAAUAUUACACAAUGGGCGCAAGCCUGAUGCAGCCAUGCCGCGUGUAUGAAGAAGGCCUUCGGGUUGUAAAGUACUUUCAGCGGGGAGGAAGGGAGUAAAGUUAAUACCUUUGCUCAUUGACGUUACCCGCAGAAGAAGCACCGGCUAACUCCGUGCCAGCAGCCGCGGUAAUACGGAGGGUGCAAGCGUUAAUCGGAAUUACUGGGCGUAAAGCGCACGCAGGCGGUUUGUUAAGUCAGAUGUGAAAUCCCCGGGCUCAACCUGGGAACUGCAUCUGAUACUGGCAAGCUUGAGUCUCGUAGAGGGGGGUAGAAUUCCAGGUGUAGCGGUGAAAUGCGUAGAGAUCUGGAGGAAUACCGGUGGCGAAGGCGGCCCCCUGGACGAAGACUGACGCUCAGGUGCGAAAGCGUGGGGAGCAAACAGGAUUAGAUACCCCAGUAGUC